UACAGAGGGUGCAAGCGUUGCUCGGAAUUAUUGGGCGUAAAGGGUAGGUAGGUGGUCUCAUUUGUCAGGGGUGAAAGCCUUGGGCUUAACCCAAGAAGUGCCUUUGAAACGGUGAGACUGGAGUCCUGGAGAGGGUCGUGGAAUUCCCGGUGGAGCGGUGAAAUGCGUAGAGAUCGGAAAGAACACCAACGGCGAAAGCACUCUGCUGGGCCGACACUGACACUGAGAGACGAAAGCUAGGGGAGCGAAUGGG
rnacentral:rRNA from 1 species